rnacentral:ncRNA from 1 species
GCUACAACGGCUUCCUGGAGUAGUUUUAAAAUUAAUUGGAGCA